rnacentral:rRNA from 1 species
CGCAGCCGCGGUAAUUCCAGCUCCAAUAGCGUAUAUUAAAGUUGUUGCAGUUAAAAAGCUCGUAGUUGAAUUUCGGGAUUCUACCGUCGGUCGGGCUAACAAGUCUGUACUGGUGUGUAGAAUUUCUACCUUCUGGGGAACCAUCAUGUUAUUAAUUUAGCGUGGUGGGAAACCAGGACCUUUACCUUGAAAAAAUUAGAGUGUUCAAAGCAGGCUUACGUCUGAAUACAUUAGCAUGGAAUAAUAGAAUAGGACGGUGGUCCUGUUUUGUUGGUUUCUGAAUCACCGUAAUGAUUAAUAGGGAUAGUUGGGGGCAUUAGUAUUCAAUUGUCAGAGGUGAAAUUCUUGGAUUUAUUGAAGACUAACUUCUGCGAAAGCAUUUGCCAAGGAUGUUUUCAUUAAUCAAGAACGAAAGUUAGGGGAUCGAAGACGAUCAGAUACCGUCGUAGUCUUAACCAUAAACUAUGCCGACUAGGGAUCGGGACGAUGUUAACCUUUAUUGACUCGUUCGGCGCCUUAC